UUCUGGGUUUUCUCUUCUAUUCCAUUGAUCUAUGUGUCUGUUUUUGCUCCAGUAUCAUACUAUCUUGACUACUACAGCUUUGCAAUAGCUUGAAGUCUGGAAUUGUGAUGCCAACAACUUUG